GACCUGAGCCAAAGUCAGACACUUAACCGACUUAACCAUGAAAAGUAUUUUUUUAAGGAAAUCAAUGAAUUCAUAAUUAAAAUUUUUAAAAAGAGAGGAGGCAAGACUCUUCCUUAUAGAAAAAUUGCCAACUAAAAAAAAGUUGAAAGACUGUAGAGUUGGGACAUUAUCAUUUUGUAACGAUCAUAGUAAAGGUUGAUAUAAUCAGAAUAUGCUCUCUAUAAAGGAAUAAGUUUAUGUGGUCUGAAAGUAUACCCUCACAGAUUGCUUAUUAGUUUUAAGGGAUAAUACUGGAUAACACCUCGAACAGAUGAUUAAAAUUAAUAUCCUCAAUGAGGGGCAGUUAACCAUCAUGUGCUUCUAGAUGCAGUAAUCUAAAACACUUCAACAUCACUUACAGUAUUUUGUCUGGUAAUGCAAAACUUGAAUCUAACAGUAAGGAAACAUAUGAAAAACCAAAAUUGAAGAACAUUUUAUACGACACUGGACGUUUGUACUUCAAAAACAUCAAUAGCAUGAAAAACAAAGGCUGAAAAAGUGCUCCAAAUUAAAGAAAAAUACACACAUAACAACUCAAUGCAUUACAUGAUCCUGGAGUAGACAAUUGAUAUAAUGUGAUAAAGACUAUAGAUUAGAAAAAAAAAAAAACAGUAUCAUAGAAAUGUUAAAUUUCCAGCUUUUAAUAUUACUACUUUUUUGGACUGCAUGUUUUUGUGUCCCCCAGAAUUCUUAUGUUGAAACCCUAAUUUCCAAUGGAUGGUAUUUGGAGAUGGGACCUUGGGGAGGUAAUAGGUCUUGAGGGUGGAGCCCUCAUGAUGGGAUUAGGGUCCAUAUAAGAAGACCCUAGAGAGCUGUUUUCCAUCCUGUAAAGAUAUAAGAUAUAUAUCUUGGACUUCCCAACCUCCCAAUCAAGACUAAUAAAUGUUUGUUAUUUAAGCCACCCAUUCUGUAGUAAAUUAUUAAUAGCAGCCCAAGCAUACUAAAACAAGUACUAUGGUUAUGUCAAAGAAAAUCCUUGAUUCUUAAGAAACACCCACUGGAACAUUAAGGUGUAAGGAGGCAUGAUACAUGCAACCUGCUCUUUGAUGAUUUAGAAAAGUAUAUGUGUAUACAUAGGUCUCUCUGUGUGUAGACAAUAUGAUAAAACAAAUAUUUUUCCUGCAGUUUUUCUUUAAGUGUGAAAUCAUACAGAGAUAUCUUGCUCCUGUUUAGGAUUUUUCAUUCUCCUUUAGCUUGUGUGAAGAAACAAAUAUUAAAAAUGCCUUCAAUUCCUCCACAGUUUCUCUUUGGUAAAUAGACUUUGACAACUAUUCUAACAUGUACAUUAUCAUAGAAGUUAGAGAGAUCUUAAUACUUAUGACUGGCUAGCAAGAUUGUUAACAAUUAUAUCUACACUUAUGCUGUGCAACAAGACCAAUUCCUUUAUUGAAUAAAAAACAAUUUUAAUA